GAUCCUGGCUCAGAAUCAACGCUGGCGGCGUGCCUAACACAUGCAAGUCGAACGCGAAAGUUCCCGCAAGGGAUGAGUAGCGUGGCAAACGGGUGAGUAACACGUGAGUGACCUGCCUUCGAGUGGGGGAUAACGUUCCGAAAGGGACGCUAAUACCGCAUGAUAUUCCUGGCUUGAACGCCGGGCAAUCAAAGCCGGGGACCGCAAGGCCUGGCGCUUGAGGAGGGGCCCACGCCUGAUUAGCUAGUUGGCGGGGUAACGGCCCACCAAGGCGACGAUCAGUAGCCGGCCUGAGAGGGCGGACGGCCACACUGGGACUGAGACACGGCCCAGACUCCUACGGGAGGCAGCAGUGGGGAAUUGUUCGCAAUGGGCGCAAGCCUGACGACGCAACGCCGCGUGGAGGAUGACGGUCUUCGGAUUGUAAACUCCUGUUGAUCGGGACGAAUAGCGUCAGCCGAAUACGUUGACGAAUGACGGUACCGGUUGAGGAAGCCACGGCUAACUCUGUGCCAGCAGCCGCGGUAAUACAGAGGUGGCAAGCGUUGUUCGGAAUUACUGGGCGUAAAGGGCGCGUAGGCGGCCUCCUAAGUCGGACGUGAAAGCCCCAGGCUUAACCUGGGAACGGCGUCCGAUACUGGGCGGCUUGGAUUCGGGAGAGGGAUGUGGAAUUCCAGGUGUAGCGGUGAAAUGCGUAGAUAUCUGGAGGAACACCGGUGGCGAAGGCGGCAUCCUGGACCGAGAUCGACGCUGAGGCGCGAAAGCUAGGGGAGCAAACGG
rnacentral:rRNA from 1 species